UACGAAGGGGGCUAGCGUUGCUCGGAAUCACUGGGCGUAAAGGGUGCGUAGGCGGGUCUUUAAGUCAGAGGUGAAAUCCUGGAGCUCAACUCCAGAACUGCCUUUGAUACUGAGGAUCUUGAGUUCGGGAGAGGUGAGUGGAACUGCGAGUGUAGAGGUGAAAUUCGUAGAUAUUCGCAAGAACACCAGUGGCGAAGGCGGCUCACUGGCCCGGUACUGACGCUGAGGCACGAAAGCGUGGGGAGCAAACAGGG
rnacentral:rRNA from 1 species